GUGAAUCAUCGAAUUUUUGAACGCAAAUUGCACUCUCCUGUGAGAGUAUGCCUGUUUGAGGGUGAGCCUAUAAAAAUCGACAUCGUUGCUGUUUCGCGGGGGCGUUCGUCGGUAACUGUGUCAUCUUAACUCCUUUUGAUGUUAGCGACUUAGAAUUUUCUUUUGGUUCCAUGAACGUUUCCU
rnacentral:misc_RNA from 1 species